CCGGCCCAGACUCCUACGGGAGGCAGCAGUAGGGAAUCUUCCGCAAUGGACGAAAGUCUGACGGAGCAACGCCGCGUGAGUGAUGAAGGUUUUCGGAUCGUAAAACUCUGUUGUUAGGGAAGAACAAGUACCGUUCGAAUAGGGCGGUACCUUGACGGUACCUAACCAGAAAGCCACGGCUAACUACGUGCCAGCAGCCGCGGUAAUACGUAGGUGGCAAGCGUUGUCCGGAAUUAUUGGGCGUAAAGCGCGCGCAGGCGGUUUCUUAAGUCUGAUGUGAAAGCCCCCGGCUCAACCGGGGAGGGUCAUUGGAAACUGGGGAACUUGAGUGCAGAAGAGGAGAGUGGAAUUUCCACGUGUAGCGGUGAAAUGCGUAGAGAUGUGGAGGAACACCAGUGGCGAAGGCGACUCUCUGGUCUGUAACUGACGCUGAGGCGCGAAAGCGUGGGGAGCGAACAGGAUUAGAUACCCUGGUAGUCCACGCCGUAA
rnacentral:rRNA from 1 species